ACAUUGACAACACCUGAAUUCCGGAGUAGCUGCCUCAAACUAUAGCAAUUAACAAGUUAAGUGAAUCACAUGUGCUCUAUUAGGGUAAAAGAAAAGCUUUCACGCAAAUCGCUCUAGAACUUUUUUAUCUUGACUCCAAAGUGACCCAGAAGCAGUGACUUUCCAGUGCUAAGGAGCAUAUCUCACAACCAGAUCAUGACUUCUAAAACACAAGGACUUAAAAGGAACAAGGACUUUUCUGAGAAAUGACUGAUUUCCUAUGACUGAAAAGGAAACUGACUUUACGUUUACCAGAUCCACCAGGUCAAAUGUGAAGGUUUUCAAAUCACCAACGAGUCUCAUUUCGUAUGUGGAAAAGAAAACAUAAAGAGAGAGAUACAUUUUCAGCAUCUUGUGUUGCUGAAAUAUUCAAUUUCUAGUAAUUUCUCCAUUGAGCAUGUAAUUUUUUAUUUGAGUGAUGACCAUGACUAUUUUCACUAUUGACAGCUUCAGUCCUACUGCCAACCGUGUUAGUUACUUUACUUGUUUAAAUCUGAGUUGUUGUAAAAAAAAAAAAAAAAAGUGAAGAAAAACACUCAUAAUUUUUCUCUCAUGUUUUCUUCUUAGUUUAUCUGUGACCUUGAAGUCUUUGAAUGUAAAGGUUAUCAGACAGAAUAAAGAAAAUUUAAAAUGAC
rnacentral:lncRNA from 1 species